CUCCGCCCGGCAGCCACCCCAUCUGGGAAGGAUCACUGGAUACUGCAAGGCAAUAUAGAUGGUAGACGGGCAAGAGUGGAAGCAUCUCUCCAAUUUGAAGAAGAUGGCAAAACGUUGCCCUUGCAUAACAUCAGAAGAUCCCUAAUGUCUGCCUUGAAGAGCUCUCGACAAUAGCAGCAAUGAACUACAGAAAAUGUUACAAUGUCAUUGCUACAUGAAGAGAAGAUCAAGAGAAUUCAGCCAGAAGACUGUAGAAACAAAGAUAUAACAGUUUUGGAUUAUUGCUUGCUCUUGAAAUGUGUUGUUUCAAAGGAACACAUUAUUUUGGACAUGCAAUCAGAUGAAACAUUAAAGGAGAGAAGCCUGAAGAACAAAGCAGCCACAGAUCAACAGGAGUAUAGUUUAUUAGAGGUUGGUUAGAGACUUUUUGCUAAUGAGCUGUACUGUCCAUAGGCAUCAUCAUGGGGUUCUCAAAUCUAAUGAUACCCAUGCCAUCAAUUCUGAGUAAAGUGGUUACAAAAGAAACUGAUAUUUAAUUUUUACUAUAAUAGAAAAUGGCAUGUAUAUGUGUCUUAAUUCAUUCAGUAGAUGCAACAUAGGGUAGUGGAAUGAUCACUUUCCUGUAUAAUUAAUUGUAAGAGCUAGAGUUCAUAUAAUCACUAAUUAUUAAA
rnacentral:lncRNA from 1 species